rnacentral:rRNA from 1 species
CGUAGGGCGCAAGCGUUGUCCGGAAUUAUUGGGCGUAAAGAGCUCGUAGGCGGCUUGUCGCGUCGAUUGUGAAAGCCCGGGGCUCAACCCCGGGUCUGCAGUCGAUACGGGCAGGCUAGAGUGUGGUAGGGGAGAUCGGAAUUCCUGGUGUAGCGGUGAAAUGCGCAGAUAUCAGGAGGAACACCGGUGGCGAAGGCGGAUCUCUGGGCCAUUACUGACGCUGAGGAGCGAAAGCGUGGGGAGCGAACAGGAUUAGAUACCCUGGUAGUCCACGCCGUAAACGGUGGGAACUAGGUGUUGGCGACAUUCCACGUCGUCGGUGCCGCAGCUAACGCAUUAAGUUCCCCGCCUGGGGAGUACGGCCGCAAGGCUA